UGACCAAACAUCAACAACAAUAUUAACGCCAACAGGAACAUCAACACGAGCAUUAACAGGCCAAACAUCCACAACAUUAUCACCAACAUCAACACCAACAUCCAAUAACAACCCAGUAAUGAACAUUACAUCAGCCACAUCAUCCCAAAGUAUAGGCUCAGACAGUAGAACCAAUGUCAUUGUGGGCGUGACAGUUUCUCUUGGCCUGCUUGUCAUUCUGUGUGUUGUCAUCUUCGUCAGCAUCAAGUGGAUCUAUCGUGGGAAGGCUAGAAAUCACAGCGUGAAGGUGCAACCUUUGAUGGAGUAGGCACGCCCGGCCUUAUGUAACCAGCCAGCCAAGACUCGCUAGGAUCUGAGGAUUUUCUUGGACGUUCGCUCUGUGAUACGUGUUAAAAGAGAAUCAAAAUGCAACCUGCGGCGCCCUCUUCUGACCAAUUUAUAAAGAUACUUUAAUAUUUUAAGCAAUUGAAUA